UACGUAGGGGGCAAGCGUUGUCCGGAAUCAUUGGGCGUAAAGCGCGUGUAGGCGGCUCGGUAAGUCCGCUCUGAAAGUCCAGGGCUCAACCCUGGGAUGCGGGUGGAUACUGCCGGGCUCGAGUCCGGAAGAGGCGAGUGGAAUUCCCGGUGUAGCGGUGAAAUGCGUAGAUAUCUGGAGGAACACCGGUGGCGAAGGCGGCAUCCUGGACCGGUAUUGACGCUGAGGCGCGAAAGCCAGGGGAGCAAACGGG
rnacentral:rRNA from 1 species